UAAUUGUUGCUUCCUGUUAUUUUUGUUGUUAGAGGUGGGAUUCUGUUCUUGUGGCUAUCUUCUUUUAGGUCUGUUGGAGGAUUACUUUCUUGAUUCUUCUAGGGUGUAAUUCCCUCCUUGUGUUGGACUUUUCCCUUUAAUAUCCUUUGAAGGGCUGGAUUCAUGGAAAGAUAUUUUGUGAAUUUGUUUUUUUAUGGAAUAUUUUGGUUUCUCCAUCUAUGGUAAUUGAGAGUUUUGCUGAGUAUAGUAGCCUGGGCUGGCAUUUGUGUUCUCUUAGAGUCUGUAUAACAUCUGUCCAGUAUCGUCUGGCUUCCAUAGUCUCUAGUGAGAAGUCUGGUGUAAUUCCAAUAUGUCUUCCUUUAUAUGUUACUUGACCUUUUUCCCUUACUGCUUUUAAUAUUCUAUCUUUAUUUAGUGCAUUUGUUGUUUUGAUUAUUAUGUGUUGGGAGGAAUUUCUUUUCUUGUCAAGUCCAUUUGGAGUUCCAUAGGCUUCUUGUAUGUUCAUGGCAUCUCUUUCUUUAGGUUAGGGAAAUUUUUUAUAAUUUUGUUGAAGAUAUUUAUUGGCCCUUUAAGUUGAAAAUCUCGAUUCUCCUCUACUCCUAUUAUCCGUAGGUUUGGUCUUCUCGUUGUGUCCUGGAUUUCCUGGGUGUUUUGAGUUAGGAUCUCUUUGCAUUUUACAUUUUCUUUGACUGUUGUGUCUGUGUUUUCUAUGGAAACAUCUGCACCUUAGAUUCCCUUUUCCAACUCUUGUAUUCUGUUGCUGAUGCUUAUAUCUAUGGUUCCUGAUGUCUUUCCUAGGAUUUCUAUCUCCAGAGUUGUCUCCCUUUGGGUUUUCUUUAUUGUUUCUACUUACAUUUUUAGAUAUUGGAUGGUUUUGUUCAAUUUUAUCACCUUGUUUGGUUAUAUUUUCUUGUAGUUCUUUAAGGGAUUUUUGUGUUUCCUCUUUAAGGACUUCUACCAUUUAGCAGUUUUUUCCUGUAAUUCGUUUAGGGAUUAUUGUGCUUCUUCUUUAAGUACUUCUACCUGUUUAGCAGUGUUCUCCUUUAUUUCUUUAGGUGAGUUAUUAAUGCCCUUCUUAAAACCCUCUACCAGCAUCAUGAGAUAUGAUUUUAAAUCCACAUCUUGCUUUUUGGGUGUGUUGGGGUAUCUAGGACUCGCUGUGGUGGGAGUACUGGGUUCUGAUGAUGCCGAGUGGUCUUGGUUUCUGUUAGUAAGCUUCUUACAUUUGCCUUUUGCCAUCUGGUAAUCUCUGGUGUUAGAUGUUCUAGCUGUCUCUGGCUGGAACUUUUUCCUCCUGUGAUUCUGGUAGUCUCUGUCAGCAGUCCUGGGAGUCCAACUCUCUCCUGAGUCCCAGUGGUCAGAACACUCUCUGCAGGCAACCUUUCUUCUGGCAGGAAAGGUGCACAGAGGUCUGGAGCUCAGCUCUGACUCCUGGUUGAAGAUGAGGCCCGAAAAGGGACCCUGUCCAAGAAGCUCUGUUGCUUCUGUGACCUGCACAAUCUUUUGUGUGGACUUGUCUCUCAGAGAUCCAGGACACAAGGUCAUGAACUCAUUAUUAAUUGAUGAGUAUGCCACUUAAGGAAUUAGGACAGACAUUUAAAAUUUUCCAGGAGUGACCAAAAAUGGAGGCACAACAUAUCAGAAACUAUAAGACAAAAUGAAAGCAUCUCUGAAUGGGAAGUUUAUAGCCAUAUGUGCUUAGUCUAAAAUGUCAGAGACAGCUCAAAUAAAUUAAUGGUGCACAUCAGUGUCCUAGAAAAACAAGAACAGUAUAAGUGAAUAUCCAGUGAAUAGAAGAAAGAAAGAAAUAUCUGUGCAGAAAUUGAUCAAAUGGAAAUGGAAAAGCACAAAGAAUGAAACAGUGACUGACUUGUUUCCCUGAAAAGUCAAGCAUGUUUGACUCUUAUCCAAACUAGCC
rnacentral:lncRNA from 1 species